rnacentral:rRNA from 1 species
GACGAACGCUGGCGGCGUGCUUAACACAUGCAAGUCGAACGGAAAGGCCCUGCUUUUGUGGGGUGCUCGAGUGGCGAACGGGUGAGUAACACGUGAGUAACCUGCCCUUGACUUUGGGAUAACUUCAGGAAACUGGGGCUAAUACCGGAUAGGAGCUCUUGCUGCAUGGUGGGGGUUGGAAAGUUGCGGCGGUUGGGGAUGGACUCGCGGCUUAUCAGCUUGUUGGUGAGGUAGUGGCUUACCAAGGCUUGGACGGGUAGCCGGCCUGGGAGGGUGACCGGCCACAGUGUGACUGGGGAACGACCCAGACUCCUACGGGAGGCAGCAGUGGGAAAUAGUGCACAAUGGGCGGAGGCCUGAUGCAGCAACGCCGCGUGCGAGAUGACGGCCUUCGGGUUGUAAACCGCUUGCGCCUGUGACGAAGCGUGAGUGACGGAAAUGGGUAAAGAGGCACCGGCAAACUACGU